rnacentral:rRNA from 1 species
UACGUAGGGUGCAAGCGUUGUCCGGAAUUAUUGGGCGUAAAGAGCGUGUAGGCGGCCAUACAGGUCCGUUGUGAAAACUGGAGGCUUAACCUCCAGACGUCGAUGGAAACCGUAUGGCUAGAGUCCGGAAGAGGAGAGUGGAAUUCCUGGUGUAGCGGUGAAAUGCGCAGAUAUCAGGAAGAACACCCGUGGCGAAGGCGGCUCUCUGGGACGGUACUGACGCUGAGACGCGAAAGCGUGGGUAGCAAACAGG